rnacentral:rRNA from 1 species
GGGUGCGAUCAUACCAGCGUUAAUGCACUGGAUCCCAUCAGAACUCCGCAGUUAAGCGCGCUUGGGCCAGAGUAGUACUGGGAUGGGUGACCU